GAGGGAUUUCAUGGUGAAAAACUACCGGGAAGAGUUGCAUAUACCCAAAUAUGUUCCACUCCAACGAGAGGGAUUUCGUGGUGAAUAACACUCCAGGAUGAGUCGCAUAUACAGCCUACAUAUGUUGUGCUACUGAACAAUGAAUAUUGUUUCAUGGUAGAUGGAUCUCGCAUCAGAAUGUUUAGCAUGUAUGGAUUUGAUACAGCCAAAAUAUGUUAUACUCCUAGA